rnacentral:rRNA from 1 species
AGACGGAGGGGGCUAGCGUUGUUCGGAAUUACUGGGCGUAAAGGGCGUGUAGGCGGAUUAGUAAGUUGGGAGUGAAAGCCCCGGGCUCAACCUGGGAACUGCAUUUGAUACUGCCGGACUGGAGUAUGGUAGAGGGAAGUGGAAUUCCACAUGUAGCGGUGAAAUGCGUAGAUAUGUGGAGGAACACCAGUGGCGAAGGCGGCUUCCUGGACCAAUACUGACGCUGAGGUGCGAAAGCGUGGGGAGCAAACAGGAUUAGAAACCCCGGUAGUCC